GCAAAGAAUAGUUUAGUUUAGAAUCCUAGCUUUGGGAGUUAGGGGNGG
rnacentral:tRNA from 1 species